rnacentral:rRNA from 1 species
CUACGGAGGGUGCAAGCGUUGUUCGGAAUCACUGGGCGUAAAGGGUGCGUAGGCGGUUUGAUAAGUCUGAUGUGAAAUCCUAUGGCUCAACCAUAGAACUGCAUUGGAAACUGUCAGACUAGAAUACUGAAGGGGCAGAUGGAAUUAGUGGUGUAGGGGUAAAAUCCGUAGAUAUCACUAGGAAUACCGAAAGCGAAAGCGAUCUGCUGGGAAGUUAUUGACGCUGAGGCACGAAAGCGUGGGGAGCAAACGGGAUUAGAAACCCUAGUAGUCC